rnacentral:rRNA from 1 species
GACGAACGCUGGCGGCGUGCUUAACACAUGCAAGUCGAACGGAAAGGCCCUGCUUUUGUGGGGUGCUCGAGUGGCGAACGGGUGAGUAACACGUGAGUAACCUGCCCUUGACUUUGGGAUAACUUCAGGAAACUGGGGCUAAUACCGGAUAGGAGCUCCUGCUGCAUGGUGGGGUUGGAAAGUUUCGGCGGUUGGGGAUGGACUCGCGGCUUAUCAGCUUGUUGGUGGGGUAGUGGCUUACCAAGGCUUUGACGGGUAGCCGGCCUGAGAGGGUGACCGGCCACAUUGGGACUGAGAUACGGCCCAGACUCCUACGGGAGGCAGCAGUGGGGAAUAUUGCACAAUGGGCGGAAGCCUGAUGCAGCAACGCCGCGUGCGGGAUGACGGCCUUCGGGUUGUAAGCCGCUUUCGCCUGUGACGAAGCGUGAGUGACGGUAAUGGGUAAAGAAGCACCGGCUAACUACGUG